rnacentral:rRNA from 1 species
GGAGUUUGGUCCGUGUCUCAGUACCAAUGUGGGGGACCUUCCUCUCAGAACCCCUACUGAUCGUUGCCCCGGUGGGCCGUUACCCCGCCGGCAAGCUAAUCAGACGCAUCCUCAUCCAUCGCCGAUAAAUCUUUACUUACUAGGAGAUGUCUCCAUGUAAGACCAUCAGGUAUUAAUCUUUCUUUCGAAAGGCUAUCCCUGAGCCAUGGGUAGAUUGGAUACGUGUUACGCACCCGUGCGCCGGUCGCCAUCUAUCAAAGCAAGCUUCGAUAAUGCUGCCCCUCGACUUGCAUGUGUUAAGCCUGUAGCUAGCGUUCAUC